UUUUGCAGAUGGUCGCAUGCUGUUGGACACAUGGAGGAGAGAAUCAUUUUCGCAGUAUCCUCAAAACCGUGUCUUUUUGACACAACUGCUGACAGCUACAGGGACAUAAACACAAAAAAUGCUGCUUGGAGACAAGUGUUCACGAUAGUAGGAUUGCCAGGUCAGUUUAGUAGUGAGCAUGUGCUAGAUGUGGCUAGUUAGCUAGCUAGCUAACCUAGCUUGCUAACCUAGCCAAUGAGGUGUGUGUGUGUGUGUGUGUGAAAGAAAGUCAAAUAAAUUAUGCUAGUUACUACCCCUGAUAACUUUACCAAAUAAUCAUGUUUGAAAGAGUGUGAGUGUGUAUGUCAUAAAUAGUAAUAGAAAUGGUAGAUACUACUGUACCCCUGAUAAUUUGGUCAGAUAACUGUGUGUGUAUGUCAAUGUGUACAGUAGGUGACAUGUCCAUGAUAGCUAUCGAAUAACUAUAGGUAUGCUAGGUAUUGGUUCUGCUUAUCAUGUUCAUGUCUAUGUAGAAGAAGACUGUAGGAGGAAGUGGAGAGGACUCAGGGACAGGUAUCAGAGAGAGAGAAGGGCAGAGAAAGAGAAGAGGUCUGGGUCAGCAGCUUCAGGCCAGCAGCCUUGGAGCUUCUGCCACAUUCUUUCUUUUCUGGAUCCAUUUAUUGUGCCUAGAGCAACAAGUGGCAAUUUUACAGCCAGACCCUCUACUACGUCAUUCACAAGUGUUGUCCCCACUGGUGCAUCAAGACCCUCAAUGUCACCUACAAGUGAGACCACCGCCACCACCGGUGCAGCAAGACCCUCUACAACGUCUACAUCAUCCACGAGUAUGACCACCACCGGUGCAGCCAUGGAAGACGAUGAAAUGGAGGAAGCACCUCUGGAUCUAGGACCACCUGAGAUUAUUAUGAACCUCACAGAAGUGACCACUGAGGACCUCGUUGAACAAGAUGUGGCCGUGGAGACAAACAGAGAGAGAAACGAAGAGGAACAACGUCACACCAGGCGUCAUCGGAGGUACCAGCCCCCAGAUCCACUUUCAGCAGAGGCUCCUCCAAGCCGUUGAGAGGGAUGCAGCCCAACUUGAUGCUCACAGGAAGGAGGAUGAAGAGACCCUCUUUGCCAUGAGCCUGGUGCCAAAACUGAAGAGGCUGCCUGAGCAAAGAAAAGCAGCAGUCAAGGUUAAAAUGUAUCAGCUGCUUUUCGAAGCCGAGUUCAAGGAAAUGGAAUCAAUUUAGCCGAUCAGCUCACAGGAAGGACAGAGAAGAGGAGUUGUCUGGUUGUUGUUUUGACCUCCUUCAUUGUACCUUUCUUUUCACACACAUCAGUUCCAUUUAAAUUCAGUCAAUUCAUAAAGUAAUUUGUUUAUAAAGUCUUAGGAUAGCAUUCAUUAUUAGUGUUACAUAGAUUUCUGAAUUGACAGAAUUGAAACUCAUACACCGGAGAAUUCAGAUGCUCUUGUUGGUCUCUUACAAGACUAAAGGUCAAUAUAUUUCUUUCAUUUAAAAGUGUUGAAACUGUUUGUGAAGUUAUGUUCCAUCGACUGGUCCAUGACGUCCAGGGGCCAUUUGUUUGUUUAGCUGUGUUAUGGCUACACACACCUCUUCUCCACUCCUCUCUGUCCCUCAGAUCUCCAGUGCCCUGCCCUCUCUCUCUUUAUGAGAAGAUGCUGCAAGGCAAACGCAGCGUUCCAUUGGCAAUGAAUGUACUUCUGGUGUAUCGAAACGCAACAACACAGUCGGUGUGUUCGAAGCAUAAGGGCUGUAUGCAGGCACUCCGCGUUGUGUCGUGUAGAACAACCCUUAGCCUUGGUAUAUAAAUGGCCAUUGUUUUUGUUCUGAAGGGACUUUGGAGGACGUUUCAUUUGAUUGAAUGCUGUAGUAGUUCAUCGAUGUGAAGACAUUUCAGUGGCUGUGUUUGCACGAAAUGAUUUGUAGAAAACGUUAUGCUUACACUUUGACAUUUGAAACUUGAAUGUGCCAUGUGAAAUUGGCUGUGCCUUUGUUGCGCUAAUGUUCUGCAGGCUGGAUGCUAAUGUUAAUUUCUAUAAUGUUUAAUUUGUUAGCGAUUCAUGCUGGGCGAUCUAAUUGCUGCAACUGUUUACAUCGAGGUACACUAAAUGACCAAAAGUAUAUGGACACCUGCUCUUUGAACAUAUUGUAGCGACCCGCACAACAGCUGUGUGUUAUGUGUUAGGCUAUUAGUUGGUUGUGUUGUACUUACCAGUACCCAGUGUUCACGGGGUCCGGCAUGCCAAUCAACCUGAUAUCUGCCAAUCACGGGAAUGCCUGGAAUGUUCUGAUGCCGGGCAUCCUGGUGGUUGGCGGAGUGGCGUGGAGGGGGGUUGGGCAGGGGGAUGGAGCAUUGGAGGUUAAGACCAAGUUUAGCCAUUGUUCUCUCACUUAUGUCUGGCCUUCACAAGAGAAGGUCACGGUUGUUUUAUAGGGCAUCCUUAAUUUAUUUGGCGUGGGCUACAGCCAAACAGUAGCCUGUGUGAAGUUGGGUUAAUAAACCGUAAAUUCGUUAACUCAA